rnacentral:rRNA from 1 species
UACGUAGGGUGCGAGCGUUAAUCGGAAUUACUGGGCGUAAAGGGCGCGUAGGCGGCUUGUCAAGUCACUUGUGAAAUCUCUGGGCUUAACCCAGAACGGCCAAGUGAAACUGACAUGCUAGAGUGCAGAAGGGGCAAUCGGAAUUCUUGGUGUAGCGGUGAAAUGCGUAGAUAUCAAGAGGAACACCUGAGGUGAAGACGGGUUGCUGGGCUGACACUGACGCUGAGGCGCGAAAGCCAGGGGAGCAAACGGG